UAAUGAGCAGCUAGUAGUCUCAUUUAGGGACAUUCACCUGCCUGGGCACAGUGGAGAUGAUUAGAUGAGAACCGGCCCUUUCAGGUUAGUACCCAAGGAUCCACUUUCUAAAAGGAGAGUGCCUGCACAGAUUAAUUUUUGAGCCAAGCUGGUCUUGCAAGGCUGGGUCUCUUCCCUCACUCUGCUCUUACUGCAUCCUCCACUGCAAAGCACCAGGCCGGGACGAGCAGAGGCAGACAUUGAAGCAAGAGUUUCUGGGAGGUGCUCUGUAGCUCCAUUAUCAUGUGAACAAUAAAAGAGGAUCCUUGGGCUGCUGAGAUGAUUCAGUGGAUACAGCUGCUUUCUGCCAAGUGGGAUGACCUGAAUAUGAUCCCUGGAACCCACAUGGUGGAAGGAAGAGAACCAACUUCCACAAAGCUGUCCUCUGACUCCACACGUAUUCUGUGACACGCAGACGUGCACCCGCGCACAUGCAUGCAUGCAUGCAGAAGCAAUAAAGACUGCUGUUUGAACGCUGUACUGUAGAAGGCACAGACUGAGAUGCUGGAUCAACUGCGCAUGCCUGUCUUUGUGACCGGCUGCUAUCGAUCCUUCCGAGCCCGUGUGCCACGCUGGAAAGCUGCAUCUAAGAGUUAAGAUUUACUGGCUUAAAAGCGUGUGUGUCGUGGGAUUGCGCGGUGGCUCAGUAAGAACUGACAUCCUAGCAGGCUCCUGGGCGAUGCAGAUGCUGGCAUUCUGGGCACUGCCCUUUGGAAAGCUAUGAUGACCACUGAAGCAGAACAGACCAAAGCAAAGAGGUGGGAAAGUCGCGAGAAGAUACAGGACUGGCUGGGAUACAUCAGGAAGAGGAGCUGCGAUGGAUGGGACUUCAAAUGGAAGUUGGUGAUUAUAUCCGUCCCAGCACCUCCCGCCUUGCAAGAGAGGCCUUAUAAAUCCUGGUCACAAGGAAGGGAAACAGAAGCUCAAGGAAGAGAGAGCCAUGGCUUCCUAGGUGUCAGUGAAGACCCAGACGCUGAAACUAUAACCGCCUAGUUCAGAAACCUAUACUUUGCUUGACCACAAUCCAAGCAGGGGGUGGGGAUGGGAUGUUUUUCUGCAGGGCUGGACAUAGAGUCAGUGUUCAGAGCACAUUGUUGGAGAGAGGAAGGAUGGGUGAGUGAAUAAGUGAAGAAAUGAAUGAGAGAACAGAACCACUUUGAGAGCCUGGAAACCGGGACCUCACGCUCUGUGACCUCACGCUCCAACUUCCCCUCCUCCCCGAGUCUGAUCUGAAAGGUGACCCCCGUUCCUCUCGCCCAGGUGAUAAAGCCAGGUGCAGGUGCACCUGUUACCCAAACCUGAUAUCCAAAUAGGAAGUAAGGCUGAGAUAAGGCUGUGGAGGGCAGUGCCUGGAAUCACGGGGUUGGGCUGGCCAUUGGCUUGAUGCCACAAGUGUCCACCGAGCCUCUCCUAAAGGUUGAGCUCUAUGCCAGGUUCCUUCAGGGUGAGGCAGGAAGCCACGCAGCUCCUGACCUCCAACAGCUUAUGGAAAAAAAAAAUACUUACAAACAGGAUGUGGGUCGGGCAAAGGGAGAAGUGUGAAGCAGGUGGCCAUUGCUCCCUGACAGCUCCAACAGGGAGUUGGGACUGAGAGAUGAGAAGAAAUGAGGCAGUAGUUAGUGAUGCCAGGGGAGGGGCCUGACCCUUGCACUGCCAUUGCUGAGGAAUAAGAGGUCCUUAAAGUUUAGCUCCUCAGACCCAGACCCCUCCCCAGUCCUCCUAC
rnacentral:lncRNA from 1 species